AAGAGAUAGAUUUGAUUUUGAUCUAGUCAUGAGGUAUUGAAUAUUAUUUUAUAGGGAAUGAGAGUAUGAUUUUGAAAUCUUAAAAUAUUGAAAACCUUUGAAAUGUUGAUUUUGAUAAUAAGAAAUGAAUGAUUCUGUUUCAGAUCGAUAUUUGAUGUACUGAUUUUUUCUUUAUGAAAUAAUUUAAGAAUGAAUUUAUAUCAAAAAUUAGAGUAUUGAAAUAUUUGGGGAUGAGAUUGAAGUAAGAAACUAUGAAGACUCAAGCAACAAAAAUGUCAAGGAUAAAAUUUAUUUUUAGAGGGGAAGAAUGUCAUGGUUCGGUCCAUUGGGCCUUAAAACCCAGCCCAAUACACAAAUAAAAAAA
rnacentral:lncRNA from 1 species